rnacentral:rRNA from 1 species
CCUACGGGGGGCAGCAGUAGGGAAUCUUCCGCAAUGGACGCAAGUCUGACGGAGCAACGCCGCGUGAGUGACGAAGGUUUUCGGAUCGUAAAACUCUGUUGUGAGGGAAGAACAAGCACCAAGUAACUACUGGUACCUUGACGGUACCUCACCAGAAAGCCACGGCUAACUACGUGCCAGCAGCCGCGGUAAUACGUAGGUGGCAAGCGUUGUCCGGAAUUAUUGGGCGUAAAGCGCGCGCAGGCGGUCCCUUAAGUCUGAUGUGAAAGCCCACGGCUCAACCGUGGAGGGUCAUUGGAAACUGGGGGACUUGAGUGCAGAAGAGGAAAGUGGAAUUCCACGUGUAGCGGUGAAAUGCGUAGAGAUGUGGAGGAACACCAGUGGCGAAGACGACUUUCUGGUCUGUAACUGACGCUGAGGCGCGAAAGCGUGGGGAGCAAACAGGAUUAGAUACCCUGGUAGUC